UACGUAGGGGGCAAGCGUUGUCCGGAUUUAUUGGGCGUAAAGAGCGUGUAGGCGGCCUGAAAGGUCAGCUGUGAAAACUCGAGGCUCAACCUCGAGACGUCGGUUGAAACCAUCUGGCUAGAGUCCGGAAGAGGAGUGUGGAAUUCCCGGUGUAGCGGUGAAAUGCGCAGAUAUCGGGAGGAACACCAGUGGCGAAGGCGGCCUUCUGGACCAGUACUGACGCUCAU
rnacentral:rRNA from 1 species